rnacentral:rRNA from 1 species
CCUACGGGGGGCUGCAGUGGGGAAUAUUGCACAAUGGGCGCAAGCCUGAUGCAGCCAUGCCGCGUGUGUGAAGAAAGCCUUCGGGUUGUAAAGCACUUUCAGCGGGGAGGAAGGCGGUGAGGUUAAUAACCUCAUCGAUUGACGUUACCCGCAGAAGAAGCACCGGCUAACUCCGUGCCAGCAGCCGCGGUAAUACGGGGGGUGCAAGCGUUAAUCGGAAUUACUGGGCGUAAAGCGCACGCAGGCGGUCUGUCAAGUCGGAUGUGAAAUCCCCGGGCUCAACCUGGGAACUGCAUUCGAAACUGGCAGGCUAGAGUCCUGUAGAGGGGGGUAGAAUUCCAGGUGUAGCGGUGAAAUGCGUAGAGAUCUGGAGGAAUACCGGUGGCGAAGGCGGCCCCCUGGACAAAGACUGACGCUCAGGUGCGAAAGCGUGGGGAGCAAACAGGAUUAGAUACCCUGGUAGUC